UAUGCUUCCUCCAUAGGUUUUUUUUUUAACAAUUUAUAACCUCUAAAGACAUAGAAGCCAAAGUAUGAAAACGCCAAAGCGUCGCACGCUUUCUUAGCGAAAUGAGUCAAAAAUCCUGAUCAGUCAGGCCUCCAUCAGAUGGCUCAGAUUGGUUGGAAUAUUUGAUUUAUCAACUAAUUUUCUAUCGGAAAAAUUGCAAACUGUAUUUCCUAGUUAGAAUUUGUCCCACAUUACUAACCUGUUAAAAAUGUGGAGUAAAAAAUCGGACUUUUAUCCAUAAAUUUUGAACAUUUCUGCACGUGUGCAACCUUUUUUCUUCUGCAGUUCUUACAGAAGUGUAGGCAAAUGUGGCAACUUGCGGCAAUUGUUCGGCAGCUCAACGAAACGUUUGCGAACUUGAACGAGCUUUCUGCUAAACACAAGCGCGAACAAACCAAGCACUGGUGGAGAGUUCAUCAAUUUAUCAAAGGUUUUUCAAUUGGUUUCGAGCACUAUGGUUCCUCCAUAGGGUUUUUUUUAACAAUUUAUAACCUCUAAAGACAUAGAAGUCAAAAUAUGAACAUGCCAAAGCCUCAAAUGCUUUCUCAGCGAAAUAAGUAAAAAAUCCUGAUCAGUCAAGCCUCUGUCAGACGCUUUGGAUGGAAUAUUUGAUUUAUCAGCUAAUUUUCUAUCGGAAAAAUUGCAAAUUGUAUUUUCUAGUUAUAAUUUGUUACACAUUUCUAACCUGUAAAAAGAUGAAGAGAAAAAUCGGCGUUUUAUCCAGAAAUGUUGAACAUUUAUGCACGUUUUCAACCCUUUUUAUUCUGCAGUUCUUACAGAAGUUUAGGCAAAUGUAGCAACCUCUGGCCAUUGUUCAGCAGCUCAACGAAACGUUUGCGAACUUGAACGAGCAUUCUGCUAAACACAAGCGCGAACAAACCGAGCACUGGUGGAGAGUUAAUCAAUUUAUCGAAGGUUUUUCAAUUGGUUUCGAGCACUAUGGUUCCUCCAUAGGGGUUUUUAACAAUUUAUAACCUCUAAAGACAUAGAAGCCAAAAUGUGAAAACCUUAAAGCCUCAAACGAAAUAAGCCAAAUAUCCUGAUCAGUUAGACCUCCGUCAGACCCCUAACCUUUAAAAAGAGGGAAUCAAAAUGAUCGCCCUUUCGAAAAAGGAAAACCUUUUCGAAGUUUGCUAGCUUGAACAUCUAACAACAAUUUACAAACUUUGAACUCCCGAAAAGACUUGAAAAUUGAUCAGUUUAGGCGGAAACUUUGGGCAAUUGUUCGGGGGCGAAUGAAACAAGCCUUCCGCUGAAUACACGGCUAUUUCAUGUUGAUCCACUUUGAAGCAAAUUUAUGAUUCUAGGAAUCCUGGCGAGUAUGUUGGAAACACUUUUGGCUCCCAACGCAACUAUUUUGACCAUCUGAUGCCUUACAAUCCAUAUUUUCCUGGUUAUCAGUCUCCGCAAUGGCCAAACUUAGUCUACCCUCAGUUUGCGCCCGGAUGCUCCAGAGCCCUGGACACUGCUGGAUUUGGAGGACAUCCUUCGGAUCCCAGCCAGAUUUAUUACCCUCAUGUUUAUCCCUAUCCCUCCUAUCCACUGGUUUAUCCAUACCACAAUGGAAGAACGAGUUCGGAAUAAUUUUUUCCCAGUUGGUGUCAGCUUGGGUAAAGGUCGAUGUGUUUUUUCAAGCUUCCAGUUCAUUUUAGAUGGUUCAGGCCGCCACUACCAUUGUAGACCUUAUUCUAAUAUACGGUGGCUUACACGAUGAAGUUGUUCAUUUAGUUAUAGUUUCCAUUAAUAAAGUUCGGACAAUUGA